rnacentral:rRNA from 1 species
UACAGAGGUCCCGAGCGUUAGGCGGAAUCACUGGGCUUAAAGAGCGUGUAGGCGGCUCGCUAAGUCUUGCGUGAAAUCUCGGGGCUCAACCCCGAGCGGUCGUGAGAAACUGGCGGGCUAGAGUGCGGGAGAGGAGAGUGGAAUUCCUGGUGUAGCGGUGAAAUGCGCAGAUAUCAGGAAGAACACCCGUGGCGAAGGCGGCUCUCUGGAACGCAACUGACGCUGAGACGCGAAAGCGUGGGGAGCAAACAGG